rnacentral:lncRNA from 1 species
GUUUGUCCCAUCAGUAUUCCCUGUGAUAAUGAUAAUGAUUUAAUUUCAAGCAAGCUCAGAAUCAGGAAGUUUCAGGUGGAACAAGACUCAAAUAAGGUGAGUAAAACGUGUGAAAAGGGCUCGGAAGUUGAUAACAAAACAAGAGCCACCCGGUACAGUAGGAGUUUGAAAGAACUUGAAAAUGUAACCAUCGAUGGAACUCCUAAGCUUUGUCCGGUCAAUAUUACCUGCAAUGAAGAUGGUUUGAUCUCAAGCAUGCUAAAAGUCAAUGAGUCUCCGGCAGAAAAUAAUGCAGAAACAACAAGAACAAACCUUAUAAAUGGAGCCAAAGUUGACAGGAAAAUUGAAAUUUGGAAUAAAGAUAGAACACCUACGAAAUUGGACCCUUCACCUACACAGGUAAUAGAUUCUCAUAGGAAAAAGUGGUCCAAGGAGCUGAAAAAUUUGAGUAUUGAUGGAACUUCGAAAAUGUGCUCUGUAAAUAAAAUUCCUGCUGAAGUCCAGUUCAGUGCAAGUAAACUUAAAGAGAAAUAUGAUAUAAUCUUUAAUCAGCCAUCAACAACUCAUAAAUCUAGGCCAGGACCUAACCCAGAAAGGAAAACCAAUGACAGUGUUUUUCUCUCACAGAAAAAACUAGUAAAUGCUUCCAACCAUGCCGAUGAAGACAGUUCAUUAUCUUACACACCUACAGUAAAAACUGGAGCAGAUUUUAAUAUUCCAAGUCUCAAAGAUAUGAGGAAGCCAUCUUCUAAUUCUAUUCCAACAAGUAAAGCUGGAGCAAACUCAGAAACUGAAAUUCCACAGAAGUCUGAUCCGAACUAUAAAACCAACCAAAAGAACAGACCAAUAGAAUCUUUGGCAAGCAGUGAACCUUUGCAGUCUCCUCAUCGUAAACUCCCCGCAAGAGAAAAUAAGAGGAAGAACAAACUAAAUAUUGAGCUAAAAAAUUUAGCUAUCGAAGGCACUCGUAACCUCUGUCCACUAAAUCUCACAUCUAGUCAUAAAGUCCUCUCACAACCCUGGAUGGAAGAGCAAACAUCAUUUAACAAUUUUCCUAAUGGAUAUCUUAAAAGUAAGGUGUCCGAAAAUGCUGCGUUUAAUGGAGCUCAAUCAGAAACUAAGGAGAAUUUGAAAGAACUUGGUAAAAUAAGCAAUAACCAAAAUAAUGAGGCUGUUUUGAAAUCAACAAAAUGUGAAAGAGAUCUUUCUGACAAGUCUCGCUCAAUUAAAGAAAAUGAAGAUGGAAACCGACAAGUCUUUCAAGAGAAAUGUACCAGGUCUACAGUUUUAGCAGCUGAAAAUCCAGAUGAAGUAGAAUCGAUUCAAAUCACAAAAGAACGCUCUACAAUCAAUUUCUGGGAUGAUUUAACUGGAAUUGACAUCACCAAGAUCAAACCAUGCAGCAGGAAAACAGUGAAAUUCACUCCAACACCUAUCACAUCUCGUGCUUCAUCUGUUCAAUCAUUUCAGAUGUCAUCGAUGAAACAUUUCCUAUCACAUGAAAUUAAAGAAGAACUAAUUAAUGGAAUGAGGCACAAUUUAUCAGUGAAAGUUCAGAAAUUUGAUAACAGCAACUAUGCGGACCUUGAUUCGCCAAAAUGUUUACCUAACUCUCCUGCAAAGAGUUCAAAAGUGGGCAAUACUAGUUCUAUGAAGUUGCUAACGAACACAUCAAUUAAGAAAGAGAACAGUUCAAGUCCAACAAAAUCAUUGUUGAGAUCUGCAAAUCUGUCCAAAUCAUUGCUGGAAUCGCCCUCGAAUCAAAGCUUGUUAAACGGGAAAUAUAAAGCAGGCACUUACGAAAAACCUUGUUCACAAUCCUCUGCCCAGGGAAAAUCGCUCAACAAAGAGUUGAAAGCCUUACAAGAAAAUUUACUGGAAGCUCGUCUGGAAAUUCUUUCAGGUUUACGACCAAUGAGGUUGCGCCAACCUGUAAAGAAGCCAAAAGACUGUACAGUUCAAGUGGCAUGA